CAGUCGCCGCGGUAAAACGGAGGAUCCAAGCGUUAUCCGGAAUCAUUGGGUUUAAAGGGUCCGUAGGCGGUCUUGUAAGUCAGUGGUGAAAGCCCAUCGCUCAACGGUGGAACGGCCAUUGAUACUGCAGGACUUGAAUUAUUGGGAAGUAACUAGAAUAUGUAGUGUAGCGGUGAAAUGCUUAGAGAUUACAUGGAAUACCAAUUGCGAAGGCAGGUUACUACCAAUUGAUUGACGCUGAUGGACGAAAGCGUGGGUAGCGAACAGGAUUAGAUACCCGGGUAGUCCCUGUCUCUUAUAC
rnacentral:rRNA from 1 species